rnacentral:RNase_P_RNA from 1 species
CAAGCAAGCCGAACAGCCGCGGGCACAGGUCGAAAGGCCGUGCGUGAGGAAAGUCCGGGCUCCGCAGGGCAAGGAUAGCGGGUAACGCCCGCCGAAGGCGACUUUAGGACAAGUGCAACAGAGAUAUACCGCCCCGCACAAGCGGGGUAAGGGUGGAAAGGUGCGGUAAGAGCGCACCCGUCCCCAUGGUAACCUGGGGAUGCUGUAAACUCUAUCCGGAGCAACACCGUGGAGGGACACACAGGCCUGCCCGGCCGUCCCAUGGAGGUGGCUUGAACGCGGCGGCAACGCCGCGUCUAGAUAGAUGGCUGUUUAAGACAGAAUCCGGCUUACAGACUUACUUGCUAU